rnacentral:rRNA from 1 species
AUCUGCGAUAAGCGCCGGUAAGGUGAUAUGAACCGUUAUAACCGGCGAUACCCGAAUGGGGAAACCCAGUGUGACUCGUCACACUAUCAUUAACUGAAUCCAUAGGUUAAUGAGGCGAACCGGGGGAACUGAAACAUCUAAGUACCCCGAGGAAAAGAAAUCAACCGAGAUUCCCCCAGUAGCGGCGAGCGAACGGGGAGGAGCCCAGAGCCUGAAUCAGCAUGUGUGUUAGUGGAAGCGUCUGGAAAGGCGCGCGAUACAGGGUGACAGCCCCGUACACAAAAGCGCAUGUGCUGUGAGCUCGAUGAGUAGGGCGGGACACGUGGUAUCCUGUCUGAAUAUGGGGGGACCAUCCUCCAAGGCUAAAUACUCCUGACUGACCGAUAGUGAACCAGUACCGUGAGGGAAAGGCGAAAAGAACCCCGGCGAGGGGAGUGAAAAAGAACCUGAAACCGUGUACGUACAAGCAGUGGGAGCCCCACCACUAAGCCAGUGGUGAACUCCACAUACGCAUCCUUUGCUGAGGAUACGGUUAACGGAGCGAAAGCGACGUUCAACCGCAAAAGAAGCAGAGGGGGCUUAGUGGUGGGGUGACUGCGUACCUUUUGUAUAAUGGGUCAGCGACUUAUAUUCUGUAGCAAGGUUAACCGUAUAGGGGAGCCGGAGGGAAACCGAGUCUUAAUUGGGCGUUAAGUUGCAGGGUAUAGACCCGAAACCCGGUGAUCUAGCCAUGGGCAGGUUGAAGGUUGGGUAACACUAACUGGAGGACCGAACCGACUAAUGUUGAAAAAUUAGCGGAUGACCUGUGGCUGGGGGUGAAAGGCCAAUCAAACCGGGAGAUAGCUGGUUCUCCCCGAAAGCUAUUUAGGUAGCGCCUCGUGAAUUCAUCUCCGGGGGUAGAGCACUGUUUCGGCUAGGGGGCCAUCCCGGCUUACCAACCCGAUGCAAACUGCGAAUACCGGAGAAUGUUAUCACGGGAGACACACGGCGGGUGCUAACGUCCGUCGUGAAGAGGGAAACAACCCAGACCGCCAGCUAAGGUCCCAAAGUCAUGGUUAAGUGGGAAACGAUGUGGGAAGGCCCAGACAGCCAGGAUGUUGGCUUAGAAGCAGCCAUCAUUUAAAGAAAGCGUAAUAGCUCACUGGUCGAGUCGGCCUGCGCGGAAGAUGUAACGGGGCUAAACCAUGCACCGAAGCUGCGGCAGCGACGCUGAUGCGUUGUUGGGUAGGGGAGCGUUCUGUAAGCCUGCGAAGGUGGCCUGUGAGGGUUGCUGGAGGUAUCAGAAGUGCGAAUGCUGACAUAAGUAACGAUAAAGCGGGUGAAAAGCCCGCUCGCCGGAAGACCAAGGGUUCCUGUCCAACGUUAAUCGGGGCAGGGUGAGUCGACCCCUAAGGCGAGGCCGAAAGGCGUAGUCGAUGGGAAACGGGUUAAUAUUCCCGUACUUGGUGUUACUGCGAAGGGGGGACGGAGAAGGCUAUGUUGGCCGGGCGACGGUUGUCCCGGUUUAAGCGUGUAGGUGUGUGUUCCAGGUAAAUCCGGUUCACUUUAACACUGAGGCGUGAUGACGAGGCACUACGGUGCUGAAGCAACAAAUGCCCUGCUUCCAGGAAAAGCCUCUAAGCAUCAGGUAACAUCAAAUCGUACCCCAAACCGACACAGGUGGUCAGGUAGAGAAUACCAAGGCGCUUGAGAGAACUCGGGUGAAGGAACUAGGCAAAAUGGUGCCGUAACUUCGGGAGAAGGCACGCUGACACGUAGGUGAAGUGAUUUACUCAUGGAGCUGAAGUCAGUCGAAGAUACCAGCUGGCUGCAACUGUUUAUUAAAAACACAGCACUGUGCAAACACGAAAGUGGACGUAUACGGUGUGACGCCUGCCCGGUGCCGGAAGGUUAAUUGAUGGGGUCAGCGCAAGCGAAGCUCCUGAUCGAAGCCCCGGUAAACGGCGGCCGUAACUAUAACGGUCCUAAGGUAGCGAAAUUCCUUGUCGGGUAAGUUCCGACCUGCACGAAUGGCGUAAUGAUGGCCAGGCUGUCUCCACCCGAGACUCAGUGAAAUUGAACUCGCUGUGAAGAUGCAGUGUACCCGCGGCAAGACGGAAAGACCCCGUGAACCUUUACUAUAGCUUGACACUGAACAUUGAGCCUUGAUGUGUAGGAUAGGUGGGAGGCUUUGAAGUGUGGACGCCAGUCUGCAUGGAGCCGACCUUGAAAUACCACCCUUUAAUGUUUGAUGUUCUAACGUGGACCCGUGAUCCGGGUUGCGGACAGUGUCUGGUGGGUAGUUUGACUGGGGCGGUCUCCUCCUAAAGAGUAACGGAGGAGCACGAAGGUUGGCUAAUCCUGGUCGGACAUCAGGAGGUUAGUGCAAUGGCAUAAGCCAGCUUGACUGCGAGCGUGACGGCGCGAGCAGGUGCGAAAGCAGGUCAUAGUGAUCCGGUGGUUCUGAAUGGAAGGGCCAUCGCUCAACGGAUAAAAGGUACUCCGGGGAUAACAGGCUGAUACCGCCCAAGAGUUCAUAUCGACGGCGGUGUUUGGCACCUCGAUGUCGGCUCAUCACAUCCUGGGGCUGAAGUAGGUCCCAAGGGUAUGGCUGUUCGCCAUUUAAAGUGGUACGCGAGCUGGGUUUAGAACGUCGUGAGACAGUUCGGUCCCUAUCUGCCGUGGGCGCUGGAGAACUGAGGGGGGCUGCUCCUAGUACGAGAGGACCGGAGUGGACGCAUCACUGGUGUUCGGGUUGUCAUGCCAAUGGCACUGCCCGGUAGCUAAAUGCGGAAGAGAUAAGUGCUGAAAGCAUCUAAGCACGAAACUUGCCCCGAGAUGAGUUCUCCCUGAGACUUUAGGUCUCCUGAAGGAACGUUGAAGACGACGACGUUGAUAGGCCGGGUGUGUAAGCGCAGCGAUGCGUUGAGCUAACCGGUACUAAUGAACCGUGAGGCUUAACCUUACA